rnacentral:rRNA from 1 species
AACGAACGCUGGCGGCAGGCCUAACACAUGCAAGUCGAGCGCUGUAGCAAUACAGAGCGGCGCACGGGUGAGUAACACGUGGGAACGUGCCCUUUGGUUCGGAAUAACCCAGGGAAACUUGGGCUAAUACCGGAUGAGCCCUAACGGGGGAAAGAUUUAUCGCCGAAGGAGCGGCCCGCGUCGGAUUAGCUAGUUGGUGGGGUAAAAGCCUACCAAGGCAACGAUCCGUAGCUGGUUUGAGAGAACGACCAGCCACACUGGGACUGAGACACGGCCCAGACUCCUACGGGAGGCAGCAGUGGGGAAUCUUGGACAAUGGGGGAAACCCUGAUCCAGCCAUGCCGCGUGAGUGAUGAAGGCCCUAGGGUUGUAAAACUCUUUCGGCGGGGACGAUAAUGACGGUACCCGCAGAAGAAGCUCCGGCUAACUUCGUGCCAGCAGCCGCGGUAAUACGAAGGGGCUAGCGUUGUUCGGAAUUACUGGGCGUAAAGCGCGCGCAGGCGGUUCUUCAAGUCAGAGGUGAAAG